GAUGAACGCUGGCGGCGUGCCUAAUACAUGCAAGUCGAGCGAACGGACGAGAAGCUUGCUUCUCUGAUGUUAGCGGCGGACGUGUGAGUAACACGUGGAUAACCUACCUAUAAGACUGGGAUAACUUCGGGAAACCGGAGCUAAUACCGGAUAAUAUUUUGAACCGCAUGGUUCAAAAGUGAAAGACGGUCUUGCUGUCACUUAUAGAUGGAUCCGCGCUGCAUUAGCUAGUUGGUAAGGUAACGGCUUACCAAGGCAACGAUGCAUAGCCGACCUGAGAGGGUGAUCGGCCACACUGGAACUGAGACACGGUCCAGAAUACGACGGGAGGCAGCAGUAGGGAAUCUUCCGCAAUGGGCGAAAGCCUGACGGAGCAACGCCGCGUGAGUGAUGAAGGUCUUCGGAUCGUAAAACUCUGUUAUUAGGGAAGAACAUAUGUGUAAGUAACUGUGCACAUCUUGACGGUACAUAAUCAGAAAGCCACGGCUAACUACGUG
rnacentral:rRNA from 1 species